UCAAAUGGAUAACAAUGUAUUUUUUAGU
rnacentral:sRNA from 1 species